rnacentral:rRNA from 1 species
CCGCCCGUCACACCCAUGGGAGUCGUUUGCUCCACGAAGUGCCUACGCAAACUCGCAAGAGAUGCAGGGCCCCAAGGAGUGCACGGUAACUGGGGUG